rnacentral:rRNA from 1 species
AUACGAAGGGGGCUAGCGUUGUUCGGAAUUACUGGGCGUAAAGCGCGCGUAGGCGGACUGAUCAGUUGGGGGUGAAAUCCCAGGGCUUAACCCUGGAACUGCCUCCAAUACUGUCAGUCUUGAGUGCGGGAGAGGUGAGUGGAAUUCCUAGUGUAGAGGUGAAAUUCGUAGAUAUUAGGAAGAACACCAGUGGCGAAGGCGGCUCACUGGCCCGAUACUGACGCUGAGGCGCGAAAGCGUGGGGAGCAAACAGGAUUAGAAACCCUAGUAGUCC